UGAGUAAUGUCUGGGAAACUGCCUGAUGGAGGGGGAUAACUACUGGAAACGGUAGCUAAUACCGCAUAACGUCGCAAGACCAAAGAGGGGGACCUUCGGGCCUCUUGCCAUCAGAUGUGCCCAGAUGGGAUUAGCUAGUAGGUGGGGUAACGGCUCACCUAGGCGACGAUCCCUAGCUGGUCUGAGAGGAUGACCAGCCACACUGGAACUGAGACACGGUCCAGACUCCUACGGGAGGCAGCAGUGGGGAAUAUUGCACAAUGGGCGCAAGCCUGAUGCAGCCAUGCCGCGUGUAUGAAGAAGGCCUUCGGGUUGUAAAGUACUUUCAGCGGGGAGGAAGGCGAUAAGGUUAAUAACCUUGUCGAUUGACGUUACCCGCAGAAGAAGCACCGGCUAACUCCGUGCCAGCAGCCGCGGUAAUACGGAGGGUGCAAGCGUUAAUCGGAAUUACUGGGCGCAAAGCGCACGCAGGCGGUCUGUCAAGUCGGAUGUGAAAUCCCCGGG
rnacentral:rRNA from 1 species